rnacentral:sRNA from 1 species
UGCCUUAACCAUCUGGGAAUGCAGCCCAGUAGGUCUCAGCCUCAUUUUACCCAGCCCCUAUUCAAGAUGGAGUUGCUCUGGUUCACGUGCCUCUGACAUUUCUAAUAAGGAUGGACCCAUCUGGAGGGUACAGGAGCCUGGUUGAUGUGAACCAUGAAAAGCAGCUUCCUGAGAGGAAAAGAACCAAAUUCAUUGCCUGUGAUUUUCUGACCGAGUGGUUAUACAACCAAAAUCCAAAGAGGGCAGGGGAGCCAUUCACAGAAUUUUUCUCCAUUCCAUUUGUGGAGGAGCGGCUAAAGCAACACCCAAGGCCGCCAAUCCCACUCUCCCUCCUGCUGACAGAAGAGGAAGCAGCCCUCUACAUUCAAUCCUUCUGGAGAGCCUAUGUGGUUCGCUGUGAUCCUGAGAUUCAAGAACUGCGUCAGUGGCAGAAGAAACUUCGCGAGGCCAAGCACAUUCACCAGCGAGUCAAAAUUUUCUGGGCCAAGCAAGAACAAAAAGUGAAAUGCAAAAUGGAGGACGAUGUGGUACCUGCAGCCAAGAUGAAAAUUCCAUCAUCUUAACCAUAGCUAAGAUGUAUCUUUGCCCAUUCGAGCACAAGUUACCUCGUGCAAGGAAAAUGUCCAAAUGAUGCUCUCUCUCUUGUGAUUUCUUUAACAAGACUUGGAACAUGUGAAAAUGGAAU